AUACGUAGGGUGCGAGCGUUGUCCGGAAUUACUGGGCGUAAAGAGCUCGUAGGUGGUUUGUCGCGUCGUCUGUGAAAUUCCGGGGCUUAACUCCGGGCGUGCAGGCGAUACGGGCAUAACUUGAGUACUGUAGGGGAGACUGGAAUUCCUGGUGUAGCGGUGAAAUGCGCAGAUAUCAGGAGGAACACCGGUGGCGAAGGCGGGUCUCUGGGCAGCAACUGACGCUGAGGAGCGAAAGCAUGGGUAGCGAACAGGAUUAGAUACCCUGGUAGUCCAUGCCGUAAACGGUGGGCGCUAGGUGUAGGGGUCUUCCACGACUUCUGUGCCGUAGCUAACGCAUUAAGCGCCCCGCCUGGGGAGUACGGCCGCAAGGCUAAAACUCAAAUGAAUUGGCGGGG
rnacentral:rRNA from 1 species